rnacentral:rRNA from 1 species
GACGAACGCUGGCGGCGUGCUUAACACAUGCAAGUCGAACGCUGAAGCUUGGUGCUUGCACUGGGUGGAUGAGUGGCGAACGGGUGAGUAAUAAGUGAGUAACCUGCCCUUGACUCUGGGAUAAGCCUGGGAAACUGGGUCUAAUACUGGAUACGACAUGUCACCGCAUGGUGGUGUGUGGAAAGGGUUUUACUGGUUUUGGAUGGGCUCACGGCCUAUCAGCUUGUUGGUGGGGUAAUGGCUCACCAAGGCGACGACGGGUAGCCGGCCUGAGAGGGUGACCGGCCACACUGGGUCUGAGACACGGCCCAGACUCCUACGGGAGGCAGCAGUGGGGAAUAUUGCACAAUGGGCGGAAGCCUGAUGCAGCGACGCCGCGUGAGGGAUGACGGCCUUCGGGUUGUAAACCUCUUUCAGCACGGAAGAAGCGAAAGUGACGGUACGUGCAGAAGAAGCGCCGGCUAACUACGUG